ACGCUCGACACCUACGAGAGGCAGCAGUCGGGAAUAUUGCGCAAUGGAGGAAACUCUGACGCAGUGACGCCGCGUAUAGGAAGAAGGUUUUCGGAUUGUAAACUAUUGUCGUUAGGGAAGAAAAAGGACAGUACCUAAGGAGGAAGCUCCGGCUAACUACGUGCAGCAGCCGCGGUAAUCUGAGGCGGGCUGGCAAGGC
rnacentral:rRNA from 1 species